rnacentral:rRNA from 1 species
AGUGAACGCUGGCGGUAGGCCUAACACAUGCAAGUCGAACGGCAGCACAGGAGAGCUUGCUCUCUGGGUGGCGAGUGGCGGACGGGUGAGGAAUACAUCGGAAUCUACUUUUUCGUGGGGGAUAACGUAGGGAAACUUACGCUAAUACCGCAUACGACCUACGGGUGAAAGCAGGGGAUCUUCGGACCUUGCGCGAUUGAAUGAGCCGAUGUCGGAUUAGCUAGUUGGCGGGGUAAAGGCCCACCAAGGCGACGAUCCGUAGCUGGUCGGGGAGGGUGAUCAGCCACACUGGAACUGAGACACGGUCAAGACUCCUACGGGAGGCAGCAGUGGGGAAUAUUGGACAAUGGGCGCAAGCCUGAUCCAGCCAUACCGCGUGGGUGAAGAAGGCCUUCGGGUUGUAAAGCCCUUUUGUUGGGAAAGAAAUCCAGCUGGUUAAUACCCGGUUGGGAUGACGGUACCCAAAGAAUAAGCACCGGCUAACUUCGUGCCAGCAGCCGCCGUAA